GACAGAGGGUGCAAACGUUGUUCGGAAUUACUGGGCGUAAAGCGCGUGUAGGCGGCAGCGUGUGUCGGGCGUGAAAUCCCACGGCUCAACCGUGGAAGUGCACCCGAAACUGCGCAGCUAGAGUCCUGGAGAGGAAGGCGGAAUACUUGGUGUAGAGGUGAAAUUCGUAGAUAUCAAGUGGAACACCGGUGGCGAAGGCGGCCUUCUGGACAGUGACUGACGCUGAGACGGCG
rnacentral:rRNA from 1 species